rnacentral:lncRNA from 1 species
CAGCUGUGGGGCUCAGAACAUGGAGCUCUGGGGACAUCUCCACCAUGGCCUGGACUCCCCUCCUCCUCACACUCCUCACUCUCUGCCCAGGUCCAGAAUUUUCCUAACCCUAGAGGGUUACACCGUAUGAAAUGGAAUUUUCUCCCAAAAAGAAGUUCUGCAUGCCUUUCUGAGGGUCCCUCAUCUCCAGGACCAGGACACCCUUCUCAGCUUUCCCCAUAGCCCCCU